CGUGUAGGCGGCUGGAUAAGUCAGAUGUGAAAGCCCUGGGCUUAACCCAGGAAGUGCAUUUGAAACUGUUCAGCUUGAGUAAGGGAGAGGAAAGUGGAAUUCCUGGUGUAGAGGUGAAAUUCGUAGAUAUCAGGAGGAACACCGGUGGCGAAGGCGACUUCCUGGCCCUAUACUGACGCUGAGACGCGAGAGCGUGGGGUAGCAAACA
rnacentral:rRNA from 1 species